GUUAAUUGGGGGCCAGGAUGCGGGGUAAGUCGUAGGGGGCAAGCGGUUGUCGGAUUUAUUGGGCGUAAAGCUAGCUCAGUCGGUUUCUUAAUUCGGAUGGGAAGGCCCACGGCUCAACCGUGGAAGGUCAUUGGAAACUGGGGAACUUGAGUGCAGAAGAGGAGAGUGGAAUUCCAUGUGUAGCGGGGAAAUGCGUAGAUAUAUGGAGGAACACCAGUGGCGAAGGCGACUCUCUGGUCUGUAACUGACGCUGAGGCUCGAAAGCGUGGGGAGCAAACAGGAUUAGAUACCCUAGUAGUC
rnacentral:rRNA from 1 species